GUUUUUGUUUAAUAUAAUCACUCAGAGAUUCUCAAGACGACAGGGUUUAGGGGUCUUCGGCGGGCGCCUUGCGGCUACGGCCCCGCCCUGGGGCCGCCCGCCGAAGCAGAUUCAGGUAGAUAAACAGUGGUUUCAGAGCUUUUGCAAGCCUGUAGUGAUCCCUCCGCAGGUUCACCUACGGAGA
rnacentral:misc_RNA from 1 species